GCUGGGCGCAGUGGCUCAUGCCUGUAAUCUCAGCACUUUGGGAGGCUGAGGCGGGUUUCACCAUGUUGGCCAGAAUGGUCUCGAUCUCUUGACCUCGUAAUCUGCCUGCCUCGGCCUCCCAAAGUGUUGGGAUUACAGGCCUGAGCCACUGUGCCCAGCCGCUAGUUCUUAAGAGGGAGGUAUGAGACAUAUGUAUAGACUAUUGAAAGGAAAAUCUCUUGGGCCCCCAAAAUCACUAAGCUAAAAGGAAAAUUCAAGCUGGAAACUGCUCAGAGCAAACCUGCCUCCCAUUCUAUUCAAAGUCAUCCCUCUGCUCACUAAGAUAAAUGCAUAUUCUGAUUGGCUCCUUUGGAAAAGCUAAUUAGAAACUCAAAAGAAUGAAACUAUUUGUCUCUCACCUACCUGUGACCUGGAAGACCCCUCCCUGCUUCAAGUUCUCCCUGCCUUUCUGGACAAAACCAGUGUACUUCUUACUAUAUUGAUUAAUGUCUCAUGUCUCCCUAAAGUGUAUAAAACCAAGUUGUGCCCUCACCGCCUUGGGCACAGGUCGUCAGGACUUCCUGACGCUGUGUCAUGGGCAUGUGUCCUCAGCCGUGACAAAAUAAACUUUCUAAAUUAAA